AUCCAGCUGACAAGUCCCAAAUAGGACGAAACGCCCAUCAAACUGGAU
rnacentral:hammerhead_ribozyme from 1 species